UACGUAGGGACCAAGCGUUGUUCGGAUUUACUGGGCGUAAAGGGCGCGUAGGCGGCAUAUUAAGUCAGCUGUGAAAUCUCCGAGCCUAACUCGGAACUGUCAGCUGAUACUGAUGUGCUAGAGUGCAGAAAGGGCAAUCAGAAUUCUUGGUGUAGCGGUGAAAUGCGUAGAUAUCAAGAGGAAUACCUGAGGCGAAGGCGGGUUGCUAGGCUGACACUGACGCUGAGGCGCGAAAGCCAGGGGAGCAAACGGG
rnacentral:rRNA from 1 species